UACCAUAAUACAAAAAUCAAAUCAAAUUAAUAUUGGUCUUCAUUUCAGCAUGUCAAACUUGAAUACAAUCCUGCUGUUAUGGUAUUCAAGGAUGAAAUGCAGUUCUUUUUUCCAGUACCAGAUAAAAGCGAGCUAGAAAAUGACAAAAACCUCCUCAAUGCUUCCUUGAUGGAUUGGAUCAACCAUGAGCGCUUCACAACCUUUAUUAAAGUAACUCAUGGAAAUAUUCACCAGUUAUGGAAG